AUUGAACGCUGGCGGUAUGCUUAACACAUGCAAGUCGAACGAGUAGUUACUUCGGUAACGAGAGUGGCGGACGGGUGAGUAACGCGUAGGAAUCUGCCUCAUAGUGGGGGACAACGUGGGGAAACUCACGCUAAUACCGCAUACGCCCUACGGGGGAAAGCGGGGGACCUUCGGGCCUCGCGCUAUGAGAUGAGCCUGCGUAGGAUUAGCUAGUUGGUGGGGUAAAGGCCUACCAAGGCGACGAUCCUUAGCUGGUCUGAGAGGACGAUCAGCCACACUGGGACUGAGACACGGCCCAGACUCCUACGGGAGGCAGCAGUGGGGAAUAUUGGACAAUGGGCGCAAGCCUGAUCCAGCAAUACCGCGUGUGUGAAGAAGGCCUUAGGGUUGUAAAGCACUUUCAAUUGGGAGGAAUACCUACCGGUCAAUACCCGGUAGCUUGACAUUACCUUUAGAAGAAGCACCGGCUAACUCCGUGCCAGCCGCCGCCGUAA
rnacentral:rRNA from 1 species